ACACUCUUAUUUCAUCCGGCCUGGGGAGGAGGGGAAAGAGGAAGUCACCUGUGAAAUUGUCUUUGCGCUUUGGACUCAAGCCCCCAGAUGCCUUUGGAUAAUUUCUGCUUGCUAAAGAGGCGGGGCCUUAGUCCUCAUCGGCCGAUGGUUUGGAGACUGAAUCAACUAUCUGAGCCUUCAUCUACCACAUAAGAAUUGCAGCAAACCCUGCAGCUAUCCUGAAGCUGCCAUGCUGAAAAGGCCAAUUGGGAGACCACAUAGAGACCGAGAGAGACUUCCAAGGACUCCAGCCAAUCCUGGGCCCCAGCAGUUUGAAUCUCCCAGCAAUGCCACCAUACAGGAGAGGGAGCAAAUACUCAGAAGAUUCAAGUGCCAGCUGCAUGGGUUGAUACCUACAUAAAAGGCAUUGGCAUUAUUCACAAGAGCCAAGAUAUGGAAAUAACCUGUGUCCAUUGACAGACGAAUAGAUGAGGGAAACGUGGCAUAUACACACAGUGGAAUAUUAUUCGGAAUUAAAAAAAGAAGGAAAUCCUGAAUCCUGCUAUUUCUGACAACAUGAGACUGCAGGACGUUAUG
rnacentral:lncRNA from 1 species